CCCGGGGACGUUAUCCGGGAAUUAUUGGGCGUAAGAGAGUGCAGGCGGUUUUCUAAGUCUGAUGUGAAAGCCUUCGGCUUAACCGGAGAAGUGCAUCGGAAACUGGAUAACUUGAGUGCAGAAGAGGGUAGUGGAACUCCAUGUGUAGCGGUGGAAUGCGUAGAUAUAUGGAAGAACACCAGUGGCGAAGGCGGCUACCUGGUCUGCAACUGACGCUGAGACUCGAAAGCAUGGGUAGCGAACAGGAUUAGAUACCCUGGUAGUCCAUGCCGUAAACGAUGAGUGCUAGGUGUUGGAGGGUUUCCGCCCUUCAGUGCCGGAGCUAACGCAUUAAGCACUCCGCCUGGGGAGUACGACCGCAAGGUUGAAACUCAAAGGAAUUGACGGGGGCCCGCACAAGCGGUGGAGCAUGUGGUUUAAUUCGAAGCUACGCGAAGAACCUUACCAGGUCUUGACAUCUUGCGCCAACCCUAGAGAUAGGGCGUUUCCUUCGGGAACGCAAUGACAGGUGGUGCAUGGUCGUCGUCAGCUCGUGUCGUGAGAUGUUGGGUUAAGUCCCGCAACGAGCGCAACCCUUGUUACUAGUUGCCAGCAUUAAGUUGGGCACUCUAGUGAGACUGCCGGUGACAAACCGGAGGAAGGUGGGGACGACGUCAGAUCAUCAUGCCCCUUAUGACCUGGGCUACACACGUGCUACAAUGGACGGUACAACGAGUCGCGAACUCGCGAGGGCAAGCAAAUCUCUUAAAACCGUUCUCAGUUCGGACUGCAGGCUGCAACUCGCCUGCACGAAGUCGGAAUCGCUAGUAAUCGCGGAUCAGCAUGCCGCGGUGAAUACGUUCCCGGGCCUUGUACACACCGCCCGUCACACCAUGAGAGUUUGUAACACCCAAAGUCGGUGGGGUAACCUUUUAGGAGCCAGCCGCCUAAGGUGGGACAGAUGAUUAGGGUGAAGUCGUACAGGAGGGAGGGGUAAAAG
rnacentral:rRNA from 1 species